rnacentral:rRNA from 1 species
UACGGAGGAUGCAAGCGUUAUCCGGAAUGAUUGGGCGUAAAGCGUCCGCAGGUGGCUGUGUAAGUCUGCUGUCAAAGAGCAAAGCUCAACUUUGUAAAGGCAGUGGAAACUACACGGCUAGAGUGCGUUCGGGGCAGAGGGAAUUCCUGGUGUAGCGGUGGAAUGCGCAGAUAUCAGGAGGAACACCGGUGGCGAAGGCGGGAUCCUGGGCCAGUACUGACGCUGAGGAGCGAAAGCGUGGGGAGCAAACAGG